UAGCGAGAAAAGAAACUAACUAGGAUAUCCCUAGUAACGGCGAGUGAAGAGGAUUUAGCCCAGCACCGAAUCCUCAGGCUGUAGUGGCUUGUAGGAACUGUGGUGUUUGGGGGGCAUCAUGUCCUUUCGGACGAUCUACUUAAGUUCUCUUGAUUGGGGCUUCAUCCAUAGAAGGUGGUAGACCUGUCACGGUGGAUUUAUGUUUAACCGAAGGCUUGAUGUCUCCUCGGAGUCGGGCAGUUUGAGAUUGCUGCUCAAAGUGGGUGGUAUGCUCCAUCUAAGGCUAAAUACUUGAAUGAGUCCGAUAGCAGACAAGUACCGUGAGGGAAGUCUGAAAAGAACUUUGGAGAGAGAGUUCAAUAGUACGUGAAACCGUUUAGAGGUAAACGAACGGGACCGCAAACGCCUCCCCAUCAUAUUCAAUCUGAUGAUUGCGUCGGCUAUCGGUUACCGCUUCCAUCUUGUUCUAUCGGUGGACGGCGAUCGGUGGUGUUUCGUGAUGUGAUUGUCGGCUGCAUGUCUGGUGGUUUGGAGGGCGCCACAACCGGUUUACUGUGUUGGCUAAAGGAUUCUGAUGUAAGGUGUGGUUGUUAGGAUGUAGCCUUUACGGGUUGCGCCUGAUGAUCAUCAUAUAGACAUUGUCUUUCUUACGCUCAACCGGUAGACCGUGGAUGAAUCUAUGCAAUGCCCUGUAACUCUUAGUUCGCCUUCGUUCGUGAUAGCAGUGUAUAGACUUCAACUGAGGUGGACUGUUUACAGUGCGCUUCGACCGCUUAUACUGUUUAUUGCGGAUGUUUGGUUGGUGUACGGCAUUCAGGGUUGGUGGCGAAUUGUCGGCACCCUGUUCGACCCGUCUUGAAACACGGACCAAGGAGUGCAGCAUGCAUGCGAGUCGUAGGGCUUGCAAUAAACCUGAAGGCGAAAUGAAAGUAAAGGAUAGGCUCGCCUAUCUUAGGUGUGAUCUGUUUUCUUUAAAAUAGAAACAGCGCAACACCGGCCCAUCUUAAAUCCUUUGUGAUUGAGGUGGAGCAAGAGCAUGUACGCUGCGACCCGAAAGAUGGUGAACUAUGCCUGAGUAGGACGAAGCCAGAGGAAACUCUGGUGGAA
rnacentral:rRNA from 1 species